GAUGAAGAACGCAGCGAAAUGCGAUAAGUAAUGCGAAUUGCAGAAUUUCCGUGAGUCAUCGAAUCUUUGAACGCACAUUGCGCCCACUGGUAUUCCGGUGGGCAUGCCUGUUCGAGCGUCAUUAUCCUCCCUCAAACCCCGGGUUUGGUGUUGGACCCAAGUUGUGUGAACAACUGGUCUCAAAGACAAUGACGGCGUCCGUGGGACCCUCGGUGCAACGAGCUUUUAGGAGCACGCAUCGAGUUGCAAGGACCUUCCGGGCCGGUCUCCUUUACCAUUUUACAAGGUUGACCUCGGAUCAGGUAGGAAUACCCGCUGAACUUAAGCAUAUCAAUAAGCGCAGGA
rnacentral:misc_RNA from 1 species